UACGUAGGGUGCAAGCGUUUGUCCGGAAUUAUUGGGCGUAAAGAGCUCGUAGGCGGUUUGUCGCGUCUGCUGUGAAAACUCGGGGCUUAACCCCGGGCCUGCAGUGGGUACGGGCAGACUAGAGUGCGGUAGGGGAGACUGGAAUUCUGGUGUAGCGGUGAAAUGCGCAGAUAUCAGGAGGAACACCGGUGGCGAAGGCGGGUCUCUGGGCCGUAAACUGACGCUGAGGAGCGAAAGCGUGGGGGAGCGAACGG
rnacentral:rRNA from 1 species